rnacentral:hammerhead_ribozyme from 1 species
ACCCAGCUGACGAGUCCAAAAUAGGACGAAACGCGCGUCCUGGAU